rnacentral:rRNA from 1 species
ACAACAUUCACCGACACCCUAAAAAACUCUGAUACCCAAACUAAAACAUUCUCCCGUCCCAGUAUGUGAGACAGAAAAGACUACCUAAAGCAAUAAAUAAAAGUACCGCAAGGGAACGCUGAAAGAGAAAUGAAACAACCACUUAAGCACAACAAAGCAGAGACUUAACCUCGUACCUUUUGCAUCAUGAUUUAGCCAGCCCCCCUGAGCAAAGAGUACUUUAGUUCAAAACCCCGAAACUAAGUGAGCUACCCCGAGACAGCCUAUAUACUAGGGCCAACCCGUCUCUGUGGCAAAAGAGUGGGAAGAUCUCCGGGUAGCGGUGACAAGCCUACCGAACUUAGUUAUAGCUGGUUGCCUAAGAAAUGAAUAGAAGUUCAGCCUCGUACCCCUCACCCCCAUAAAAUACUUUUACACCCAUGAAUACGAGAGAACUACGAGAGUUAGUUAAAGGGGGUACAGCCCCUUUGACACAGGACACAACCUCGCCAGGAGGUUAAAGAUUAUAUUAAACAAGACAUGCUGUCCCAGUGGGCCUAAAAGCAGCCACCUGAACAGAAAGCGUUAAAGCUCAAACAGACCACAAUCUAUUAUUUAAAUAUUAUAUCUUAAACCCCUAAAAAUACUAGGCCAAUCCAUGCCCCCAUGGAAGAAAUACUGCUAAAAUGAGUAAUAAGAAGGGACCCCCUUCUCCUAGCCUACGUGUAUGCUAGACAGGACUAACCACUAGCAAUUAACGAACCCAACAAAAGAGGGCACUGUGACUACACUAGACAUCAAGAAAUCCUCACAUACCACAUCGUUACCCCAACACCGGAAGGCUGCAUAGGAAAGACAAAAAGAAAGGAAAGGAACUCGGCAAACACAAACCUCGCCUGUUUACCAAAAACAUCGCCUCCUGCAAAAUCAACGUAUAGGAGGUCUUGCCUGCCCAGUGACAUGUUAAACGGCCGCGGUAUUUUGACCGUGCGAAGGUAGCGCAAUCACUUGUCUCUUAAAUGGGGACCUGUAUGAAUGGUAGAACGAAGGUUUAACUGUCUCCCCUCUCAAGUCAAUGAAAUUGAUCUGCCCGUGCAGAAGCGGACAUAUCGCUGCAAGACGAGAAGACCCUUUGGAGCUUAAGAUGUAAGAUCAACUAUGUCAAAACUCAGCUAAACUAAAUAGUACCUGAUCCCAAUCUUCUGUUGGGAUGACCGCGGGAGAAAACAAAGCUCCCAUGAGGAAUGGAACCGCUCCUUCCCGAACCAAGAAUGACAAUUCUAAGUCACAGAACUUCUGACCAAAAGAUCCGGCCACCCGCCGACCAACGAACCAAGUUACCCUAGGGAUAACAGCGCAAUCCCCUUCCAGAGCCCAUAUCAACAAGGGGGUUUACGACCUCGAUGUUGGAUCAGGACAUCCCAAUGGUGCAGCCGCUAUUAAGGGUUCGUUUGUUCAACGAUUAAAGUCCUACGUGAUCUGAGUUCAGACCGGAGCAAUCCAGGUCAGUUUCUAUCUGCAACGCUACUUCUCCCAGUACGAAAGGGUCGGAGAAGGGGGGCCCAUGUUACCGACACACCCCACCCCAACUUAGUGACAUCAACUAAACUAAAUAAAGGGAGAGCACAACCCCACAUCAAGAUAAGAUUAU